UUUACUCUUUUCUCCUUUCUUCUCUACCAAACCCCACGAAAGAAAGGUUUUCUCUCAACAUUUCUUCCCUUUCUUCCUUUCUCAAUCUCAUCACUUUCUUCCCUCUCUUCUCUGAUCAGUCGCCAUCCCCACCAUCACAGCCAUCUCUCAUACCCAGCUCGUGCUCGUUCGUCGUCAUAUUUCUUGUAUCAUUUAAAAAAUCUUCAUUCUUUCACUUUGCAUCUAACCAUUAGGAUGUGGUGCAAAAUUUCCUGUUCAAUGGCAUCGACGAGCUCGGAAGCAAAAGGUUUCUGAAUUACUUUCCAGAGUUUCGCUAGAAGAUGGUACAAUCAACACGAUGAGAUCUAAACGUGUAUAUAGGCUGUCAUGGUUACUAAAUUGAUCGUGUAACUUAGGGUGGAUGACUAGGUAACCGAUGAAGACGACGAUGCCUCCGAUUAUGACGGUGAUUGAAACUACAAUACAGAGUCAGGCAGCGAGCCAAACAAGAGGAUGAGUGUGGCGCUUUGCGUCGGAUAUUAGUUUAGGUGACAUUGGGCGGGGGCGGUCCACAUCCGACAGUGGAGAUUGUUAUCUUGUUUUUUGGUGUCCCCUUUGAAAUUUGUGAGAAAUUUAAAAAGGAAACAGUUGCUGGAUUGAGUUUCGAGGUUACAACAAAAGUAGGUUACUAUAGAAGUUGUGUGUUUACCCAUUUAAGAUGAAAAAAAUACAUACAACUAUAAGAGUUAAUUAAGAACUAAUAUUUUAGCUGCUACAGUAUCAAUGCUUUCUCUUGAAUCUUUUUAACGAGGUUUUAUUACGGUUGAAUGGAUGUGGUGUGCAGGGACUCAUCUUUACCCUCAAGGGUUACUUGGGAUUUGGAAUCAAUGUAACUACAGAUUUUUGUUCUUCCAUUGGGAAUGAUUGAAGUCAUCAGAUUGAAAGCUAAGCGAUUGUGUAGAUAGCCAGACGAUCGUUGAAGGUUGAAGACUGAGAAGACGUUUAGGAUUUCUUAUUUAAGUCUUGUAUUAGGAUCUUGUUUCAUGUACUAUUGUAGAAUGUAUAUAUAAACACAAUAUAAGUUUUCAUUUUGUGUAUACAAAUUUAAAAGAUAAAUAUUAUAGUUUCUAAAAUAAUAUUAAUUUUAUUAA